UAUGUGUGUGUAUUAUUUCUACUCUGGA
rnacentral:sRNA from 1 species